rnacentral:rRNA from 1 species
AGAGUUUGAUCAUGGCUCAGGACGAACGCUGGCGGCGUGCUUAACACAUGCAAGUCGAGCGGAUUAUGGGAGCUUGCUCCCAUAGUUAGCGGCGGACGGGUGAGUAACACGUGGGUAAUCUGCCCUCAAGUGGGGAAUAACACAGAGAAAUCUGUGCUAAUACCGCAUAAGAUAUGAGAAUCGCAUGGUUUUCAUAGAAAAGAUUUAUUGCUUGAGGAUGAGCCCGCGGCCCAUUAGCUAGUUGGUGAGGUAAAGGCCCACCAAGGCGACGAUGGGUAGCCGACCUGAGAGGGUGAUCGGCCACAUUGGAACUGAGACACGGUCCAGACUCCUACGGGAGGCAGCAGUGGGGAAUAUUGCACAAUGGGGGAAACCCUGAUGCAGCAACGCCGCGUGAGUGACGAAGGUCUUCGGAUUGUAAAGCUCUGUCUUUGGGGACGAUAAUGACGGUACCCAAGGAGGAAGCCACGGCUAACUACGUGCCAGCAGCCGCGGUAAUACGUAGGUGGCAAGCGUUGUCCGGAAUUAUUGGGCGUAAAGGGUGCGUAGGCGGUUUUUUAAGUGGGAUGUGAAAUACCUGGGCUUAACUCAGGAACUGCAUUCCAAACUGGAAGACUAGAGUGCAGGAGAGGAAAGUGGAAUUCCCAGUGUAGCGGUGAAAUGCGUAGAGAUUGGGAGGAACACCAGUGGCGAAGGCGGCUUUCUGGACUGUAACUGACGCCGAGGCACGAAAGCGUGGGGAGCAAACAGGAUUAGAUACCCUGGUAGUCCACGCUGUAAACUAUGAGUACUAGGUGUGGGGGGGGCGGAGCCCUCUGUGCCGCAGUUGACACAUAAGUACUCCGCCUGGGAAAGUACGAUCGCAAGAUUAAAACUCAAAGGAAUUGACGGGGGGCCCGCACAAGCAGCGGAGCAUGUGGUUUAUUUCGACGCAACGCGAAGAACCUUACCAGGACUUGACAUCCAAAGGAUCCGGUGGAAACACUGGAGUGCUUUUNGGAGAACCUUUGAGGAACAGGNUANCGGUGCAUGGUNGUCGUCAGCUCGUGUCGUGAGAUGUUGGGUUAAGUCCCGCAACGAGCGCAACCCCUAUUGUUAGUUGCCAGCAUUAAGUUGGGCACUCUAGCGAGACUGCCGAGGUCAACUCGGAGGAAGGUGGGGAUGACGUCAAAUCAUCAUGCCCCUUAUGUCCUGGGCUACACACGUGCUACAAUGGCCGGUACAGAGAGCUGCUAACCCGCGAGGGGGAGCCAAUCUUUAAAACCGGUCCCAGUUCGGAUUGUAGGCUGCAACUCGCCUACAUGAAGCUGGAGUUGCUAGUAAUCGCGAAUCAGCAUGUCGCGGUGAAUGCGUUCCCGGGCCUUGUACACACCGCCCGUCACACCAUGAGAGUCGGCAACACCCGAAGUCAGUGAGCCAACCAGCAAUGGAAGCAGCUGCCGAAGGUGGGGUCGAUGAUUGGGGUGAAGUCGUAACAAGGUAACCGUA